rnacentral:rRNA from 1 species
GACGAACGCUGGCGGCGUGCUUAACACAUGCAAGUCGAGCGGUAAGGCCCUUCGGGGUACACGAGCGGCGAACGGGUGAGUAACACGUGGGUGACCUGCCCUCCACUUCGGGAUAAGCCUGGGAAACUGGGUCUAAUACCGGAUAGGACCUUCUGGUGCAUGCCAGGUGGUGGAAAGUUUUUCGGUGGGGGAUGGGCCCGCGGUCUAUCAGCUUGUUGGUGGGGUGAUGGCCUACCAAGGCGACGACGGAUAGCCGGCCUGAGAGGGUGAUCGGCCACACUGGGACUGAGACACGGCCCAGACUCCUAUGGGAGGCAGCAGUGGGGAAUCUUGCGCAAUGGGCGGAAGCCUGACGCAGCAACGCCGCGUGGGGGAUGACGGCCUUCGGGUUGUAAACCUCUUUCGCGAUCGACGAAGGUCAUGUUUUUCAUGGCUGACGGUAGGUCGAGAAGAAGCACCGGCCAACUACGUGCCAGCAGCCGCCGUAACAC